UUCAGACUCAUCUUGCACAGCUUCCACAGUGGAUAUGGGAUCUUAAAAGAGAAACUUUGAAAAUAUUUUCCUUUGUUUUCUAUGCCAGGCCGGGGCAGACCUGUCACUUGAGCUUGGCCAACUGAACACUCCUGAGAGCCUGCGCAAGCAAGUGAAACUCGACUCUUCUCCAGGUGUGUUCGUCACCAACCCCGCAGGUGAAGGAGACCGGCCACACGGCCGUCCCCAUCUGACCAGUGCUCACUCGGGGUGGACUGAGAGGCGCUGCCCCAGGACAGUCACGCUUUGUUCACACAGUUUUGGGUGAAGACAAGGCAGAGAAAAGCCCUUUUUCAGAGUUUAUCACUACCCCACACUCUUGCACCAGAAUGUGUGUGGACGUUCUUC
rnacentral:lncRNA from 1 species